rnacentral:rRNA from 1 species
GUACCCGCUGAACUUAAGCAUAUCAAUAAGCGGAGGAAAAGAAACUAACAAGGAUUCCCCUAGUAACGGCGAGUGAAGCGGGAACAGCUCAAAUUUGAAAUCUCACAAGGUCACUUGUGCGAAUUGUAGUUUAGAGAAACGUUUUCGGGGGCAACGUGGGUAUAAGUCCUUUGGAAAGAGGCAUCAUAGAGGGUGAGAAUCCCGUUUAUGAUCCACUGUUUGCUCCUAUGUGAUACGUUUUCCAAGAGUCAGGUAGUUUGGGAUUGCUGCCUAAAAUGGGUGGUAAAUACCAUCUAAAGCUAAAUAUUGGCGGGAGACCGAUAGCGAACAAGUACCGUGAGGGAAAGAUGAAAAGAACUUUGAAAAGAGAGUUAAACAGUACGUGAAAUUGCCAAAAGGGAAACGCUUGGAACCAGUAUUGCUCUCAAGUAAUCAACGUCACGUCCCGCAAGGGUCGCGUGGUGUGCACUUGCUUGCGAGCGAGCCAACAUCAGUUUGAUUUGGGGUAAAAAGCCUGUGGAAGGUAGCUCGAACUUCGGUUCGAGUGUUAUAGCCUAAGGUCAUGCCCUGGAUUGGACUGAGGUCUGCAGCGUCAUUUGGAUUCCCGGUUGCCUCUUGAGACUAACUCUAGACAGCACGCUGACUAGGGUGACAUUUAGAGAGCUCAGCCGGUUCAUCACACCUACGCUUAGGAUGUUGGCGAAAUGGCUCCAAACGACCCGUCUUGAAACACGGACCAAGGAGUCUAACAUAUAUGCGAGUAUUUGGGUGGCAAACCCUCAUGCGCAAUGAAAGUGAACUUAGGUGGGAUCGCAAGUGCACCAUCGACCGGUCUGGAUUUUUUUUGAUAGAUCUGAGUAAGAGCAUACAUGUUGGGACCCGAAAGAUGGUGAACUAUGCCUGAAUAGGGUGAAGCCAGAGGAAACUCUGGUGGAGGCUCGUAGCGAUUCUGACGUGCAAAUCGAUCGUCAAAUUUGGGUAUAGGGGCGAAAGACUAAUCGAACCAUCUAGUAGCUGGUUCCCUCCGAAGUUUCCCUCAGGAU